rnacentral:tRNA from 1 species
CGUCGCCGGGCGCCAGGACCCGGGCGCCGCUGCUGUGGUGAGGGCUGGCGGCGUUCGGGCCGCCGGCGACGA